rnacentral:rRNA from 1 species
UUGGAGGGCAAGUCUGGUGCCAGCAGCCGCGGUAAUUCCAGCUCCAAUAGCGUAUAUUAAAGUUGUUGCAGUUAAAAAGCUCGUAGUUGAAUUUCGGAGUUUGUCGGUUGGUCGGGCUUCACUGUCCACACUGGCCUGAUGGAUUCCUACCUUCUGAAUAACCGGCAUGCUAUUAAGUUAGUGCGUUGGGGAAGCAGAGCUAUUACCUUGAAAAAAUUAGAGUGCUUAAAGCAGGCUUUUGCUUGAAUAGAUUAGCAUGGAAUAAUAAAAUAGGACGGCAUGGUUCUAUUUUGUUGGUUUCUAGGAUCACCGUAAUGAUUAAUAGGGAUAGUUGGGGGCAUUAGUAUUCAAUUGUCAGAGGUGAAAUUCUUGGAUUUAUUGAAGACUAACUUCUGCGAAAGCAUUUGCCAAGGAUGUUUUCAUUAAUCAAGAACGAAAGUUAGGGGAUCGAAGACGAUCAGAUACCGUCGUAGUCUUAACCAUAGACUAUGCCGACUAGGGAUCGGACGAUGUUAAUUUUUUAAUAACUCGUUCGGCGCCUUACGGGAAAC